rnacentral:misc_RNA from 1 species
UACGGAGGGUGCGAGCGUUAAUUGGAAUUACUGGGCGUAAAGCGCGCGUAGGCGGCUCUGCAAGUCGGGUGUGAAAUCCCCGGGCUCAACCUGGAACCGCAUUCGAGACUGCAUUGCUAGAGGAUGGGAGAGGGAAGUGGAAUUUCCGGUGUAGCGGUGAAAUGCGUAGAUAUCGGAAGGAACACCAGUGGCGAAAGCGACUUCCUGGACCAAUACUGACGCUCAUGUGCGAAAGCGUGGGGAGCAAACAGG